UCUGGUGGUCAUAGCAUGCCUGUCCCACCCGAUCCCAUCCCGAACUCGGAAGUGAAAGGGCAUCGCGCCGAUGGUACUUCGGCUUAAGCCGCGGAAGAGUAGGUCGCCGCCAGAU
rnacentral:rRNA from 1 species